CUCUUGUAUCUCUGAGAUAAAUCUCACUUGAUCAUUAUGUAUGAUCUUGAAGUAGUGCUGGAUUCGAUUUAUUAGUAUUUUGUUGAGAAUUUAUUCAUCUAUGCUCAUCAAGGAAAGAAGUCUGCAGUAUUUUCUUGUAAGAAUGGAAGGGAGCGGCCAGUGCCAUGGCUCAAUAGGCUAAUCCUCUGCCUGUGGUGCCGGCACACGGAGUUCUACUCCUGGUUGGGGCACCGGAUUCUGUCCCGGUUGCCCUUCUUCCAGUCCAGCUCUCUGCUGUGGCCCAGGAAGGCAGUGGAGGAUGGCCCAAGUGCUUGGGCCCUGCACCCACAUGGGAGACCAAGAAGUAGCACCUGGCUCCUGGCUUCGGAUCAGCACGGUGCGCCAGCAGCAGCGUGCCGCCCACAGCAGCCAUUAGAGGGUGAACCAACAGUAAAUGAAGACCUUUCUUUCUGUCUCUCUUUCUCUCUCUCACUGUCCACUCUGCCUGUCCAAAAAAAAAAAAAAAUGGAAUGGAGCAACAUAUGGAUAGUUGUGCAUAUUACAAAAGUUAUUAUUGAGGGGCUGGCGCUGUGGCGCACUAGGUUAAUCCUCUGCCUGCAUCACCAGCAUCCCAUAUGGGCACCAAUUCUAGUCCUGGCUGCCCCUCUUCCAAUCCAGCUCUCUGAUGUGGCCUCGGAUAGCAGUAGAAGAUGGCCCAAGUGCUUGGGCCCCUGCACCCACAUGGGAGACCAGGAAGAAGCACCUGGCUCCUGGCUUCGGAUAGGCACAGCUCCGGCCGUUGUGGACAUUUGGAGAGUGAACCAAUGGAAGGAAGACCUUUCUCUCUGUCUCUCCCUCUCUCUUGCUGUCUGUAACUCUGUCAAAUAAAAUCUAAAAAAAAUUUUUUAAAGUUAUUAUUGAAUGUGCUUUCACCUAUGUUUAUGUAUGGUGCUGUCUUAUUUUCUAAUAAUUAAGUCACAAUAAAAUAAUGACACAAUUUUGUAAAGGCCUAACUCAUCAAGGUGGAGAAAGUAACUAACAUUUCUUUUCGAUCUGGUCAAUUCCCUAUGAUACUUCAUACUGAUAUAUGUAGUCACUUCUCUGAAUAAUAAAAGGCAUGGUUUUC
rnacentral:lncRNA from 1 species